rnacentral:rRNA from 1 species
CCAGACUUGGAACCGGGAGAGGUAAGAGGUACUACAGGGUAGGAAGUGAAAUCUUGUAAUCCCUGUGGGACCACCUGUGGCGAAGGCGUCUUACCAGAACGGGUUCGACGGUGAGGGACGAAGCUGGGGGCACGAACCGGAUUAGAUACCCGGGUAGUCCCAGCCGUAAACGAUGCUCGCUAGGUGUCAGGCAUGGCGCGACCGUGUCUGGUGCCGCAGGGAAGCCGUGAAGCGAGCCACCUGGGAAGUACGGCCGCAAGGCUGAAACUUAAAGGAAUUGGCGGGGGAGCACAACAACGGGUGGAGCCCUGCGGUUUAAUUGGACUCAACGCCGGACAACUCACCGGGGGCGACAGCAAUAUGUAGGCCAAGCUGAAGACUUUGCCUGAAUCGCUGAGUAGUGGUGCAUGG